rnacentral:lncRNA from 1 species
CUUGCCGACUGAAGGACAUCCUUCUGCCGUUGAUCCAGCGCCGCUCACGGUCGAGAUGCCGAUCCUUCCCGAUCCUCCGUCAGUCGAAGAGAUCAACCAGGAUGAAUGAUCGGUCCAGCCGACCGUCUUCUUUUUGUUUCUUUUUGAAAAUACGUGUAAUCGGGCUUCGGCCCGACUUUGUAAUUUCCUUCGAUCAACGAAUGAAAUUGUCUUUUCUUGUGUCUUUUGUUUGAAAUGUCUCUUAUUGCUGUAAUGUCGAACCCUAGUUACCAACUUAGAGAAGUCGCCAACUCGGGUAAGUCGGUAGGACUUAACCGACUUGCACAGCUCCGAAGUAGCUCGUGUCCCGACUUUAGGUCGGCUUCCAAUAGUUGAAGUCGCCGGUCGGGCGCAUCUGUUAAGUCGGGAGCCGACCGAACCUAGUAAAGGUUUGGUAGUCGGACUUCCGUAGAUGCGUUCAGUCGAACAUCGACCGGCGCAGUGUCGGGGG